UUGACAGCUCUGGAGGGUGAAGUUCUCUAUAAACCGAACAGGUCCAUCAGUAGCACAUGCUUCUGGCCUAUUGUUGGGCUAAUGUGCCCCAAUCCUGAUCUGAAAGGAGCAGCUCUAGAGUCAAAGAGGAGUUCAUUCUCCAUGGCCCAUUCAACCCUUGGCCUCU
ensembl:misc_RNA